rnacentral:rRNA from 1 species
CUACGGGCCGCACCAGUGGGGAAUAUUGGACAAUGGGCGCAAGCCUGAUCCAGCCAUGCCGCGUGUGUGAAGAAGGCCUUCGGGUUGUAAAGCACUUUCAGUUGGGAGGAAAGGUUAGUCGCUAAUAUCGGCUAGCUGUGACGUUACCAACAGAAGAAGCACCGGCUAACUCCGUGCCAGCAGCCGCGGUAAUACGGAGGGUGCAAGCGUUAAUCGGAAUUACUGGGCGUAAAGCGUACGCAGGCGGUUGAUUAAGCGAGAUGUGAAAGCCCCGGGCUCAACCUGGGAACUGCAUUUCGAACUGGUCAACUAGAGUGUGAUAGAGGGUGGUAGAAUUUCAGGUGUAGCGGUGAAAUGCGUAGAGAUCUGAAGGAAUACCGAUGGCGAAGGCAGCCACCUGGGUCAACACUGACGCUCAUGUACGAAAGCGUGGGGAGCAAACAGGAUUAGAUACCCGCGUAGUC